UGGACGCGGCCCAAGACGGGGUCGACCAGCAGCUCCAACAACGUCAGCAGUCGUAGCAGCCGUCGGCAGAAGGAGCCCGAGCCGCCGAGGGGUACCGGGACGGCCAUGUUUGUUCCAGCAUCACCAGCUGCUUCCUUUUCCAUCCACUUCCGGGUCAAAGUGCGUCGUCCCGGACGUGCUCUGGAAGGGGGCGUGGCUGCCGCCUCCGGGGGUCCUUGAGAUCAUUUUACUGGAAAAUGCUACUCUGGUCACGGAGGUAUCCGAGCGGACCACCUUGGGACUCUUCAGUUGGCUUCCCCGGGCGGACUCCGGCAAAGCCCCUGUGAGGACCCUGAAGCGUUUGCCAUGACAACCAUGGCGGGGCAAGUCCAACUCUGGGCCUCCUUUCUGCUUCUACGGGCUUGGGGAUUGAGGGGCCAGGACCAAAGUCAGGAACCCGCAAUAUCCAAUGAUGAUUGGACUGUCCUCUGUGAUAAUAACUUAGAAAUUGCUGGCCUGUCUUAGAGUCCUUGACUUAUUAUUAUCCUAGGUCCUUUACACAAACUUCAGCUUGAAAUACUUGCAGUAAUAGGAUUUAUUGAGUCCAUAAGAAGCAAUCCUCUAGGCUUUUUUUUAAAAAGUGGCAGACAAUCUAAUCAGAUAAGAGGUAGGUGUCAUGCUUUUCCUCUAUUCUACCUAAACUCGAAGAAAUGGUCAUUGUGUCCAGUCUCAGCCGGGAAUGCAGAUUUUUAACUGAUACGUCAUUUUGUCUUGUGUGAUUUCAUGCCACCGCUGGAGUCUGAGCCUUGAUGUUUUCUAUUUUAGUCUUUUUGGAAACUUUACCUUGAGUCCUUGGCACUUAAUGGAAGGACUUGGUGGUAGGUCCCUGGUACCACAGGGCUUACAGGAAACACACAUAUUACAAUUGCUGAUAGCCAAGUUUGUUUAGUUCUUAGAUUCUUGUUUUUAACUGGACACACAAGUAACAUAUGCUUUUGUGUAUGUGCAUGUAAUUAUUUAAGCAAAAUAGGGUACAACAAAAACACAGAGAACUCAACUACCAGGCAACCACCACUAUGUAUUUGUGUGAACACCUAUGACAGAAUUAGAUUACUAUAGCUUUUUAACUGGAACUAGGAACAGGAUAUAUUUUGAAAGGUCUGGUUGGUUGUUUUUUUAAUUUUUUUAUGUAUGUGUGUGCCAUGUGUAGGUACCUGAGAGGACCAGAAGAUGGUGUCAGGUCCUCUGGAGCUGGGGCUACGGGCAAUGGUGUAUUGCCUGACAUCGUGGGUACUAGAAACUGAACUCAGAAGAGUUCUUUGAGACCCCAAAGCUAACACAGUGGAAGGAACCAGAGGCUUAUUGCGUCGUGGUAACAUCUGCUGGCCAUGUCUUCCAAAUUGCAUUGGAGAAUCUCAGGCAUCUCUUGAGACAGAGAAGAAACCCUUAAAGCAUCUUUUUGGCAAGUGGGAAAAUGUCAGUUCAGUGGCUCCAGGACACCUUCAGUGGGCUGAAGAAAUGGUGACUGAAGCAGGAAGAUCACACCCCCCUCCAAAGUUCUGGGUCGCCUGGGCUACACAGUAAGAUCUUAUUGCAGAAAAUAAGGACUCAGAAGAUGGCUCAGCCAGUAGAGACAUUUGCCAUCAAGUCUGAUGACCUAAAUUCAAUCCCUGGAAUCCUUGCUGUGGAAGGAGAAAACUGACUCCCACACGUUAUCCUCUGGCCUCUACAUAUGUGCUAUAUGUGCAUGCGAACACACACUCAUAUACACAUAACUAAAUAAAUAUACCAAGCUUUACAAGGUUGUGGCAUGAGCCUUUAAUUCAUCACUUGGGAGGCACAGGAAAGUGGAUCUUUGUGAGUGAGUUAGAGGCCAGCCUAGUCUACAGAGUUCUAGACCAGCCAGGGGCGUUACACAGUGCAGCCCUGUCUUGGGCGGUGGGGAGGGAAGGGGAAGAAAGGAAAGAAGGGAGGGAGGAAGGAAAGAGAGAGCAAACAGCCAGAAACCUAUGCAGGAAUGGUCAGUGAUGUUUGUCCAGAUGCCCUAGAGUUAACUCCUUCCGUGCCAUCAGUUCAUUCAAAGGCAAAGACCACAACUUUGUGACUCAAGGUGGAGCAGGUAUGCAGCUGUGCUGAGGUCAGCAUUUGCUAGGGUGGAACAACCUAGCUAAAGAAUCAAUACUGCAUUUGUCUUUCAUUUUCUGAAGCUUUUGACUCAAGCAUCUUCCAGUUACAUUCCAUAUUUAUCCAAGUGAAAGAUAUAUAUGUUAAGUGUGCUCAGUUAGCUCGACUCCCGCGGUACACUGUGGCUUCCAGAGGUUCUGCAACAAAAAAUUUCUGCUUACUCAAAUAAAACGUUUCCUCUCCUGGCAUCUUUCUCCCCUCAGUUCCUUCUGCUUCUUUCUCUUUAGGGCACAGGUUGUUUUACCUCCUCCUGGCUAGCCUAUUUUUUCAAGUGGUCAUUCUAGUUUUCCAAAGUCAAGAUUAGGUCAUUUUGUGGACGGAAAAGGAAAUGACAAACAAGCAGGGAGAGAGGCAAGGUGAUGAGUUUGCCAGCAGGCAGGGUCUCCCUAGUGUGGUCAUUUUCAGCUUGGAGCAAAUAAAACCCAGUGGCAUUGUGGGGCAUGGGGAUAUGGCUAAGUGUGGCUAAGAGAACUGGCUGCUCCUCCCAAAGACCUGGGUUUGAUUCUCCACACCCAUGAGUGGCUCACAACCAUCUGCAGGUCAUUUCCAGGGACUCCAAGGGCUCCAGACAUGAGUGGGUGCACUGAUAGACAUGCAUACAGAACACAAAACAACCCUGUGGUGUUGUUAACAUUGCUUACAUUUCCAAGUCCUCCAACUCACCCUCGCUAUAAAUCUGCCUUGGCAGGUAGCUGGCUGACCAUCCCCAGCAGACUAGGGAGUAAAGAGUGCUCAGACCUGGUAAAUGUGGGGGCAAAAUAUUUAAAACAGACACAAAGGAUGGAGGCUGUGCCUUGAAACUGACAGAAGACAGACCAAAAUAGUUUUGAUAGCUGUAAUGUAACUACCCAACAACGGAAGUAGGAGGUCCUGAGGGUUAAAGCGAGGUUUCUCAGCUCUGCCCCUCCUUCCUUUUUCUUUCUUUCCUUUUCCUUUUCAAACAAAUUUAUUUUAUGCUUACUUUUGUUUUUUGAGACAGGAUCU